rnacentral:rRNA from 1 species
AACGAACGCUGGCGGCGUGCCUAACACAUGCAAGUCGAACGAGAAAUUCCGAUUCGUCGGAAGAGUAGAGUGGCGAACGGGUGAGUAACGCGUGGGUAAUCUGCCCUUGAGUUCGGGAUAACUUCGCGAAAGCGGAGCUAAUACCGAAUAAAACUGACCUUGUUCCGGCAAGAUCAGUAAAAGAUGGCCUCUACAUGUAAGCUGUCGCUUAAGGAUGAGCCCGUGUACCAUUAGCUUGUUGGUAGGGUAAUGGCCUACCAAGGCAACGAUGGUUAGCUGGUCUGAGAGGAUGAUCAGCCACACUGGAACUGAGAUACGGUCCAGACUCCUAUGGGAGGCAGCAGUGGGGGAUCUUGCGCAAUGGGGGAAACCCUGACACAGCGACGCCGUGUGAGUGAUGAAGGCUUUCGGGUCGUAAAGCUCUGUCAGGUGGGAAGAAAUAUCUCGAUACGAAUAAUAUCGGGGUUUGACGGUACCACCAAAGGAAGCACCGGCUAACUCCGUGCCAGCAGCCGCGGUAAUACGGAGGGUGCAAGCGUUGUUCGGAAUUAUUGGGCGUAAAGAGCGUGUAGGUGGUUGAACAAGUCAGGUGUGAAAGCCCUCGGCUCAACCGAGGAAGUGCAUUUGAAACUGUUCAGCUUGAGUACGGGAGAGGAGAGCGGAAUUCCCGGUGUAGAGGUGAAAUUCGUAGAUAUCGGGAGGAACACCAGUGGCGAAGGCGGUUCUCUGGCCCGAUACUGACGCUGAGACGCGAAAGCGUGGGGAGCAAACAGGAUUAGAUACCCUGGUAGUCCACGCCGUAAACGAUGGGCACUAGGUGUAGGAGGUAUUGAAUCCUUCUGUGCCGAAGCUAACGCAUUAAGUGCCCCGCCUGGGGAGUACGGCCGCAAGGCUA